CAUUUAAAGAGUGCGUAAUAGCUCACUAGUCGAGUGACACUGCGCCGAAAAUGUACCGGGGCUAAACAUAUUACCGAAGCUGUGGAUUGUCCUUUGGACAAUGGUAGGAGAGCGUUCUAAGGGCGUUGAAGCAUGAUCGUAAGGACAUGUGGAGCGCUUAGAAGUGAGAAUGCCGGUGUGAGUAGCGAAAGACGGGUGAGAAUCCCGUCCACCGAUUGACUAAGGUUUCCAGAGGAAGGCUCGUCCGCUCUGGGUUAGUCGGGUCCUAAGC
rnacentral:rRNA from 1 species